CUUUAUUUUCUGAGUAACAGACUUCUUGAAGCAAACCAAUCCCAAUUGAGUUGCCUGAUUGUAUGUCGGAAUUCCAGAUCGAUGGCGAAUUAAUUAGAUGAUUAACUGGAAAAUUAUGUUAGAUAAUGAUUUUAAAAAAGUAUAGAAGAAUAAAAUUUAAUUUGUUCAACUGUUUGUUUGUCAUAAUAAUAACUUCUACUUCUUUGAGGUUUCAUUAUUCUCUUCUUUUUCUUUAUUCGAAGAAUCAUAGAAACAAUCAGAACCCUUGCCUAAUUUAGCAGUUGCCUUCUUUUAAUUUUUUUCUUCAAAGACGAAAUCUUCAGAGUAUCAGACGUACUCAGCUUUUUAGCAGAACUAGACUUCUUUUUCUCAGAUUUCUUGAAAGAUUUAUUUGAAACCUUGUUUUACUUUUAGUUUUUUUCUUCACAAUUGCAUUUGUAUCUUCUUCAAAUGCCUCAGGUACUUCUUCUUCAGAUGCAUCAUGUACUUCUUCCUCAAUAACAUCAAAAUCUUUCCGAUCUUUAUUCGAUCUCCUUCUUUUAUUAUCUUUUGCCAUGAUAUUUUUCAGUGUCCUGUUGAAAUCAAGUGUCUUUUUUCAAUGCGAUUUAUUGGCAUCUUCUUGUUCUAUAGAAAUAUUGAAAAAUUAAUUCAGGUGGUUUUUAAUUUAAAAUAUAAAUUGUUAGAUUUGUGUAUGAUGAUGAUGGCUGAAUCGGAUUAGCCUUUAAGUUAUAAUUGGAAUUGUAUAUGAUGUUUGAUAUUUAAACCUGAAUGAAUACAUUAUGUGAAUGUAAACAGUUGAUGUUUAUUAAUAUAAAUGUUGAAUAUGAAUAUUGAAUGUAAAUAGAUAACAAUACAAAUUCAGGAGCGAUUGAGAGAUGAUGAAACUGAAUCAGAUCGAAAGAGCUAAGACAGUUGUUGCAGAUUGAAGAACUGGAUGUUUCUGAUGUAAGUGAUUUGAAAAUGAACUGAGAUACUUUAAACUGAUGUUGAAGUUGUAGAGAUGAACUGAAUGAAUUUAUGAGAGCUAGUGUUCUUGAUCUUCAAUCCAAUUGAUAAAUAUUUUGAAUCGAAGAAGUAUUUGGUUGAGUGGUGUUAAUCUGAAUUUAU
rnacentral:lncRNA from 1 species